GGAGAGAUGGCAGAGCGGUUGAUCGCGUCGGUCUUGAAAACCGAAGUGCCCACUGGGCACCGAGGGUUCGAAUCCCUCUCUCUCCGCCA
rnacentral:tRNA from 1 species